UACGAAGGGUGCAAGCGUUAAUCGGAAUUACUGGGCGUAAAGGGUGCGUAGGCGGUUGUUUAAGUCUGUCGUGAAAUCCCCGGGCUUAACCUGGGAAUUGCGUUGGAGACUGCAAGGCUGGAGUCUGGCAGAGGGGGGUAGAAUUCCACGUGUAGCAGUGAAAUGCGUAGAGAUGUGGAGGAACACCGAUGGCGAAGGCAGCCCCCUGGGUCAAGACUGACGCUCAUGCACGAAAGCGUGGGGAGCAAACAGG
rnacentral:rRNA from 1 species